GUGGGGAAUCUUAGACAAUGGGCGCAAGCCUGAUCUAGCCAUGCCGCGUGAGUGAUGAAGGCCUUAGGGUCGUAAAGCUCUUUCGCUGGGGAAGAUAAUGACGGUACCCAGUAAAGAAACCCCGGCUAACUCUGUGCCAGCAGCCGCGGUAAUACGGAGGGGGUUAGCGUUGUUCGGAAUUACUGGGCGUAAAGCGCGCGUAGGCGGAUUGGAAAGUUGGGGGUGAAAUCCCGGGGCUCAACCCUGGAAUGGCCUUCAAAACUCCCAGUCUUGAGGUCGAGAGAGGUGAGUGGAAUUCCGAGUGUAGAGGUGAAAGUCGUAGAUAUUCGGAGGAACACCAGUGGCGAAGGCGGCUCACUGGCUCGAUACUGACGCUGAGGUGCGAAAGCGUGGGGAGCAAACAGGAUUAGAAACCCCGGUAGUCC
rnacentral:rRNA from 1 species